rnacentral:rRNA from 1 species
GACGAACGCUGGCGGCGUGCUUAACACAUGCAAGUCGAACGGUGAAAGCGGAGCUUGCUCCGCUGGAUCAGUGGCGAACGGGUGUGUAACACGUGGGCAACCUGCCCCUCACUUCGGGAUAACUCCGGGAAACCGGGGCUAAUACCGGAUAUGACCUCCUUGGGCAUCCUUGGAGGUGGAAAGUUUUUCGGUGAGGGAUGGGCCCGCGGCCUAGCAGCUUGGUGGUGAGGUAGUGGCCAACCAAGGCGACGACGGGUAGCCGGCCUGAGAGGGCGACCGGCCACACUGGGACGGAGACACGGCCCAGACUCCGACGGGAGGCAGCAGUGGGGAAGAUUGCGCAAUGGGCGAAAGGCGGACGCAGCAACGCCGCGUGCGGGAUGACGGCCUUCGGGUUGUAAACCGCUUUCAGCAGGGAAGAAGCCGCAAGGUGACGGUACCUGCAGAAGAAGCACCGGCUAACUACGUGCCAGCCGCCGCCGUAA